CGGCGCACGGGUGAGUAACGCGUAUCCAACCUUCCCAUUACUGUGGGAUAACCUGCCGAAAGGCAGACUAAUACCGCAUAGUCUUCGAUGACGGCAUCAGAUUUGAAGUAAAGAUUUAUCGGUAAUGGAUGGGGAUGCGUCUGAUUAGCUAGUUGGUGAGAUAACAGCUCACCAAGGCGACGAUCAGUAGCCGGAUUGAGAGGUUGAACGGCCACAUUGGGACUGAGACACGGCCCAGACUCCUACGGGAGGCAGCAGUCGGGAAUAUUGCACAAUGGAGGAAACUCUGAUGCAGUGACACCGCGUAUAGGAAGAAGGUCUUAGGAUUGUAAGCUAUUGUCGUGUGAGAAGAAAAUGACCAUCACAGGAGGAAGCCCUGGCUAAAUAUGUGCCAGCAGCCGCGGUAAUACAUAUGGGGCGAGCGUUAUCCGGAUUUAUUGGGUGUAAAGGGUGCGUAGGCGGGAAAAUAAGUCAGUAUGUGAAAUCCCUCGGCUCAACUGAGGAACUGCAACUGAAACUAUUUUUCUUGAGUGCUGAAGGGGAAAGUGGAAUUCCUAGUGUAG
rnacentral:rRNA from 1 species